rnacentral:rRNA from 1 species
UGCCAGCAGCCGCGGUAAUACGGAGGGUGCAAGCAUUAAUCGGAUUCAUUGGGCGUAAAGGGUGCGUAGGCGGAAAAUUAAGUCAGGUGUGAAAGCCCGGGGCUCAACCUCGGAAUUGCAUUUGAAACUGGUUUUCUUGAGGAUAGGCGGGGAAAACGGAAUUCCACGUGUAGCGGUGAAAUGCGUAGAUAUGUGGAAGAACACCCGUGGCGUAGGCGGUUUUCUAGCUUAUUCCUGACGCUGAGGCACGAAAGCAAGGGGAGCGAACAGGAUUAGAUA